rnacentral:rRNA from 1 species
GACAGAGGGUGCAAACGUUGCUCGGAAUUACUGGGCGUAAAGCGCGUGUAGGUGGAUUGGUGUGUCAGAUGUGAAAUCCCUGGGCUCAACCCAGGAACUGCACCUGAAACUACCAGUCUUGAGUGGUGGAGAGGGAAGUGGAAUUCCUGGUGUAGGAGGUAGAAUUCGUAGAUAUCAGGAGGAACACCAGUGGCGAAGGCGGCAUCCUGGACCGGCAUUGACGCUGAGGCGCGAAAGCUAGGGGAGCAAACGGG